CCAAGGAGUCUAGCGUGUGCGCGAGUCAUUGGGUGCAAAACCUAAAGGCGCAAUGAAAGUGUCAGGGGGGGGCCUCCCAAGGGAGGUCUCCUCGUAGGGAGGAUGGGCUCCCCGUACGUUCACUCGUGUCGGGGCCCCGCACUCCCGGGGCGUCUCGUUCUCAUCACGAGUGGAGACGCACCAGGAGCGCACACGCUGGUACCCGAAAGAUGGUGAACUAUGCCUGGCCAGGACGAAGCCAGGGGAAACCCUGGUGGAGGUCCGAAGCGAUUCUGACGUGCAAAUCGAUCGUCUGAGCUGGGUAUAGGGGCGAAAGACCAAUCGAACCAUCUAGUAGCUGGUUCCCUCUGAAGUUUCCCUCAGGAUAGCUGGCUCUCGGGACGAGACGAGUCUCAUCCGGUAGAGCGAAUGAUUAGAGGUGAUGGGGUCGAAACGACUUCAACCUAUUCUCAAACUCCCAAUAGAUGAGAGCCCCGGCUUGCUUAAAAGUGAAGCCGCGGGACUCGGAUCAGAGAUGCCAAGUGGGCCAAUUUU
rnacentral:rRNA from 1 species